GAUGAACGCUAGCGGCAGGCCUAAUACAUGCAAGUCGAACGGUAAGGCCCUUUCGGGGGUACACGAGUGGCGGACGGGUGCGUAACGCGUAUGCAACAUGCCUUCCAGCGGGGGAUAUACCAGGGAAACUUGGCGCAAUACCCCAUAGAAUUACGGGACCGCAUGGUCUUGUGAUUAAAACUCCGGUGCUGGGAGAUUGGCAUGCGUGACAUUAGCUAGUUGGCGGGGUAACGGCCCACCAAGGCGACGAUGUCUAGCUGGUCUGAGAGGAUGAUCAGCCACACUGGGACUGAGACACGGCCCAGACUCCUACGGGAGGCAGCAGUGGGGAAUAUUGGACAAUGGGGGCAACCCUGAUCCAGCCAUGCCGCGUGUGUGAAGAAGGCCUCGGUUGUAAG
rnacentral:rRNA from 1 species